CCCUCGUGCACUCUCGCUCGUAGAGCGGUGGAGCCGCGUAGGCCCAGCGAGGCCACAACCCAACCCUGAGUCUAAACGGACUGGAACUCCAAUAUUGGACCAGAACCUCGGUUGUGAGCAAGGACAGACCCAAACUCCCAUACGAAGUCCAUAUCCUACUAGUGCCUCCCAGUCCUUACUAUGAACCGGAUACUACUCUUGGACCCCAUUUCCUUCCUCUACAAAUAUGCACCUGAUAGUGAGCCCAGACCCGUCUCCAAACUCAAUAUUGAGUCCGGACUCCUAAUUCUGCCCCCACAUUGGCCCAAGUAGUAAUUUUAAUCUACACCCCUAUAUUGGCCCCCAAUACCAGUUCUGACUCUGAAUCCCUCUAUCAUCUCUACCUACCUAAGCUUGAUAAGGACACCAGCCCUAACUCUGGGCCUUAAGUGGACUCCAGUUCUAAUACUGAGCCCCAGAUCCCUAUAUUAACCCUAAAGUCCAACAGUUACCUUGUUAUGGGCCCCAGUACUUUUCUGAACCCCAAAACUUACAUAAAACUCCAACACUGCCCUCCCAGUCCCAGGUCAACACCAAUACUUUUUGAAUUGGGAUUCCCAAUUCCAGAAUUGGGUUGGUUCAUCAGAAAAGAACCCUACCACAGAUGCUGACCUUAAACCCCACAAAUCCUUGGGGCAACUUAGGACCCUAACUUGCCCCAACUGUAAUUAUCUUGGAAUGCAAGAUUAGUGAGACUGGCUUUGCAGAAACUCCGCACGAAUCUUCAUCCCCAUGUUUGCCCUCCACUUAUCUGACCUGAUUUCAACCCCAGUUCCAACUGUGAACCUGAAUCAAGUCUUUCAUUGGCCCCUGAGUUCAAGACUUAAUAAUGUCACUCGAACCUGAUGUAAAAAAACUUUGGUAUUGAGUUUCUGACUCCUACCAAAACUCAAAUGCUGACCUUAUAAAUUUCUGGGCUAACCCCAUAAAUUACCUGAAGAUUUAUUCCAAGUCCUAACUCAGAGGGAGACUUGGUAAGCUCCACACCAAGAGCCACACACACCAAAGUCCCCCCACCAUCCUUGCCCACCAUCUACUCCAGACCCACCCUCCCGGUCCAUGCCACCACCAUUUAAGAAUCAGCCACACAACCCUCUCCUUCCCUGGGCAAGAUGGCAACCUGCCCCUAUUGCCCUAGGUCAGUUGAGGACCCCGAUGAGGUUUCUGAUCUCCUAUGGGUCUCCCUGAUACCUUUGUGACUUUGGAGGUCAGGUGAGAAAUAAACAAAGCUUGGGGAUUGCUGAGACACCUGGAUUCAGGGAUCACAGAGUUAAUGUGCAGGGCAGGUGUGGAAGAGGGGUUUAGAGAUCUGGGCUGAGGGGUCAAGUUCUCGUUUAUCACGUAAUUCACUGCCUGCUUUUGCCCAGGAUUUGGAUUCAGAAACAGUACGUGUGCGCCCCCUGGUGUAUAAGAAGGGGAUGGACUGGCAAACAUCCGGAUGACAAAUGGAUCAAAAAUGAAUAUUCCUGAAUCAGUGGUUUUUCACCCAUUGGUAAUUUUGGUACCCUGUGGAGGAGAUCUAUUGACCACCAGAUCUUCGUGUCACGCCAUGGAAUCCUUCAUUCCAUCACUGGGUACCUGCCUGGGAGGAAAGAAAACGCACGUCUAUGCAAAGACUUCUGCAUGGAAGUCCAUAGUAGCAGUAUUCUCAAUACUCAACUGUUUAUCUCAAUAAACUCAACUGUUUAUCAACUGGCGGAUGGAUAAACAAAAAUGUAGUGUAUAUGUACUGUAGAAUAC